AUAGUAGCUCAAUUGGAUAGAGCGUUGGCCUCCGAAGCCAAAGGUUGCGGGUUCGAUUCCCGCCUUUCGC
rnacentral:tRNA from 1 species